rnacentral:lncRNA from 1 species
UAUACCCGUAAAAAGUUUUUAACUUUCUAAUUUACCCUUUUUAAAAGGCUAAUAUUGAAAAGGCUAAUAUUGAAAGUACUUUUUUUACGUUUCAAUUUAUUUCAAAUAUACAUCUAGAGUUAAAUUCUAUUAAUGAACUGUUAGCAAUAACUGUUAUCUAUAUGAAAUUACUAUUUUACCUUUUCAAAUAUAUCUUUUCAACACCACUGACUUUUCUUAUUUGUUCUUAAGUUAGGGGCAUAAAAAGUAUUUUAAUUUUGGUAUUUUCAAAUAUACCCUUCUACCAUAACCAAUCUUUCUUAUUUGCCCUUAAAUUAGGGGUAUAUAAAAAAAUAUUUUAAUUUUUUUUAACUCUAAUAAAUAUUUAACUCACGUUUAAACUAUGUUAACUUAACGGGUGAUAAGUAUAGGAAUAUUUUGGAAUAACGGAGGAAUAUAUGAGGAGUAUAUUAGAAAGAAAAAAAAAGUAGGAAUAUAUGAGAUAUUUUUAAAGUUUUGAGAGGUAUAUAGGCAAUUAUCCAUAUAUAUAUAUAUAUAGAGAGAGAGAGAAUUGAGCUCCUAUGCUUUUAAAAGUACCAAGACAUUAGUGCUUGUAAGUUUUUAGCCUUUAGAUUAAAAAAUAUGUGGUUAGGAAGAUAUGGGCCCUCUAGGGUUGAGUGGAUGGUUGGUUGAAUAGUAUAAUCUAACGGGUGUAAAUGAUCAACAGUGCUGAUCUAACGGUUAAAAACCUACAAGCACAAAGUGAUUGGUGCUUUUACAAGCACCAUAGCCGGACUAUAUAUAUAUAUAUAUAUAUAUAUAGUAUGGCUACUAUGCUAUCGGAAGCAUAGAGAAUCCGAUGCUUUCGAUUUUUUGACCCUUAGAUCAACUCCUUUGAUUAUUUCUAAUCUUUGGAUUAAUACUAUUACUCUAUGGAGACCACUCAACCCUAGGGGUACUACUCAAUCUUUGGGGACCGCAAUCAUCCCAACCGUAUAAUUUUUUAUCAAAAAGUCAAAAAUUCGAAAGUAUCAAAUCCUCUAUACUUCCGAUAGCAUAGUAGCUCUACACUAUAUAUAUA